rnacentral:rRNA from 1 species
GGAUCAUUACACAAUAAACAUAUGAAGGCUGCACCGCCAACAGGCGGCAAGGCUGGAGUAUUUUAUUACCCUUGUCUUUUGCGCACUUGUUGUUUCCUGGGCGGGUUCGCCCGCCUCCAGGACCACAUGAUAAACCUUUUUUAUGCAGUUGCAAUCAGCGUCAGUACAACAAAUGUAAAUCAUUUACAACUUUCAACAACGGAUCUCUUGGUUCUGGCAUCGAUGAAGAACGCAGCGAAAUGCGAUACGUAGUGUGAAUUGCAGAAUUCAGUGAAUCAUCGAAUCUUUGAACGCACAUUGCGCCCUUUGGUAUUCCAAAGGGCAUGCCUGUUCGAGCGUCAUUUGUACCCUCAAGCUUUGCUUGGUGUUGGGCGUUUUUUGUCUUUGGUUUUGUCCAAAGACUCGCCUUAAAACGAUUGGCAGCCGGCCUACUGGUUUCGCAGCGCAGCACAUUUUUGCGCUUGCAAUCAGCAAAAGAGGACGGCACUCCAUCAAGACUCUAUAUCACUUUUGACCUCGGAUCAGGUAGGGAUACCCGCUGAACUUAAGCAUAUCAAUAAGGCGGAGGAA